CAACUGGUCAAAGUUCACCGAGAAUGUGGGAAGUCGAAAGCGUGAAUGGAAAAAAAAUCGUUUUGUAUAUAAAAAGCGUAAUUAUAAAAGCAUAUAUUUUUAAUGAGUUUAUGUAUAUUUUAAAUGUAAAUGCUAAAAAAUAGUUGCAAGUACUCCGGUAAGUUUGUCUUUGUAAUUCCGCCAAGAAAUAAAACUACUCCCGAGCGGUAAAAUCAUUCUUUUUUUUAUAUUAUGUUUGAAUAUGAUAAUUAAAUGCAAUGUAAUGAUUUAUCCAAAUAUACACAUUAUGUGACCAUAUGCUUCCGGUACCAAAUGCUGCCGGAAGUUGGAGGAUCGCGGACGGACAUAUAAGGCAGAAGAUGGGCUUCAUUCUUCCUCUUCAUCCGCGGCUCCCAUCGAGUGAGGAGUGAGUUUCUGGGGUGAGCUGUGUAAAUUGAAAUGGCCUGUGCCAGAUCAUUGGUGUAUUCAGAGAGCGCAUCCUGUAAAAUAGUAGUCAUGCCGGCAGUGUUGAGGGUGCCUGCUCACUUCGACGUUGUGAACUUUGUGCGCCAGAACCACUGACCAUACGCAGCCUGUGAAUUGGCUGACCAAUGGUGAGUCUUGGGGCGCAGCUAGAGACGUAUCCAGCACAGGUGGCCAUGCAUCAUGUACAACGAAGACUUUUGCCUGAACAGGGCUUUCAAGAACAUUCCAGGACUGUAUUCAGAGAGAGCAUCCUGUAGAACAGUGGUCAUGCCGGCAGUAUUCAGGUCGCCUGUUCACCUAUGUUGUGAACUACGUGCUCAAGAUCCGCCAACCAUAGGCAGCCAGUGAAUU
ensembl:lncRNA